rnacentral:rRNA from 1 species
UACGUAGGGAGCAAGCGUCGUCCGGAAUUACUGGGUGUAAAGGGAGCGUAGGCGGGUACGCAAGUUGAAUGUUAAAUCCAGAGGCUUAACUUCUGGCUGCGUUCAAAACUGCGUAUCUUGAGUGAAGUAGAGGCAGGCGGAAUUCCUAGUGUAGCGGUGAAAUGCGUAGAUAUUAGGAGGAACACCAGUGGCGAAGGCGGCCUGCUGGGCUUUUACUGACGCUGAGGCUCGAAAGCAUGGGUAGCAAACAG